GUUUCUCCAUGGGUGGGGAUUUGUUGCAUUACUUGUAGCUAUACGUAGAGUAUUGCACUUGUCCCGGCCUGUGGAGGAAAG
rnacentral:pre_miRNA from 1 species